rnacentral:rRNA from 1 species
UACGUAGGGUGCAAGCGUUGUCCGGAAUUACUGGGCGUAAAGCGCGUGUAGGCUGCUCCGCAAGUCGGAUGUGAAAGCCCUGGGCUCAACCUAGGAAGUGCAUUCGAUACUGCGGAGCUGGAGUCCUGGAGAGGAAGGCGGAAUUCUCGGUGUAGAGGUGAAAUUCGUAGAUAUCGAGAGGAACACCGGUGGCGAAGGCGGCCUUCUGGACAGUGACUGACGCUGAGACGCGAAAGCGUGGGGAGCAAACAGG